UACGGAAGGCAGCAGUGGGGAAUAUUGCACAAUGGGCGCAAGCCUGAUGCAGCGACGCCGCGUGGGGAUGACGGCCUUCGGGUUGUAAACUCCUUUCGCUAGGGACGAAGCGCAAGUGACGGUACCUGGAGAAGAAGCACCGGCUAACUACGUGCCAGCAGCCGCGGUAAUACGUAGGGUGCGAGCGUUGUCCGGAAUUACUGGGCGUAAAGAGCUCGUAGGUGGUUUGUCGCGUCGUUUUGUGUAAGCCCGCAGCUUUAACUGCGGGACUGCAGGCGAUACGGGCAUAACUUGAGUGCUGUAGGGGAGACUGGAAUUCCUGGUGUAGCGGUGGAAUGCGCAGAUAUCAGGAGGAACACCGGAUGGCGAAGGGCAGGUCUCUGGGGCAGUAACUGACGCUGAGGAGCGAAAGCAUGGGGUAGCGAACAGGAUUAGAUACC
rnacentral:rRNA from 1 species